rnacentral:rRNA from 1 species
GAUGAACGCUGGCGGCGUGCCUAAUACAUGCAAGUCGAGCGAACAGACGAGGAGCUUGCUCCUCUGACGUUAGCGGCGGACGGGUGAGUAACACGUGGAUAACCUACCUAUAAGACUGGGAUAACUUCGGGAAACCGGAGCUAAUACCGGAUAAUAUAUUGAACCGCAUGGUUCAAUAGUGAAAGACGGUUUUGCUGUCACUUAUAGAUGGAUCCGCGCCGCAUUAGCUAGUUGGUAAGGUAACGGCUUACCAAGGCAACGAUGCGUAGCCGACCUGAGAGGGUGAUCGGCCACACUGGAACUGAGACACGGUCCAGACGCCUACGGGAGGCAGCAGUAGCAAUCUUCCGCAAUGGGCGAAAGCCUGACGGAGCAACGCCGCGUGAGUGAUGAAGGUCUUCGGAUCGUAAAACUCUGUUAUUAGGGAAGAACAAAUGUGUAAGUAACUAUGCACGUCUUGACGGUACCUAAUCAGAAAGCCACGGCUAACUACGUG